rfam:Schistosoma haematobium scaffold2247_7, whole genome shotgun sequence.
UUUCGUCACACACCAAACCACAAGGGCUGAUGAGACUUCCAAGAUAAGUGAAGCG